CUAUGGGAUGCAGCAGCUGAGGAAAUUUUACAAUGCUCGAAAGAGUGAUAAAAUGAGCCAGAGUGUUUCUCUUAGAGAAACUUUUGUCUGCUGUAAAAAUGCAGACGAAUAAGGACUGGGCAAGACCGGUGCCAGCCGCCGCGGUAAUACCGGCGGUCCAAGUCGUAUCCACAUUUAUUGGGUCUAAAACAUUCGUAGCUUGUUUUGUAAGUCUCUUGUGAAAUCCCAUGUCUCAAGCAUGGGGCGUGCAAGAGAUACUGCAUUACUAGAGACCGGAAGACGUAAGGAGUACGAUUGAGGUAGCGGUAAAAUGUGUUAAUCUUGAUCGGACUAACAAUGGCGAAGGCACCUUACGAGUACGGAUCUGAAAGUGAGGGAUGAAGGCUAGGGGCGCAAAAGGGAUUAGAUACCCCAGUAGUC
rnacentral:rRNA from 1 species